GCGGGGUUGGUGUAGUUGGUCAUCACGUCAGUCUAACAGAUCAGCUCAGCAUCGUCUGAGCCGGUUGAAGAGCACUGAAGGUCGCGAGUUCAAGUCUCGCAUCCCGUA